ACAUAAGUAACGAUAAAGCGGGUGAAAAGCCCGCUCGCCGGAAGACCAAGGGUUCCUGUCCAACGUUAAUCGGGGCAGGGUGAGUCGACCCCUAAGGCGAGGCCGAAAGGCGUAGUCGAUGGGAAACAGGUUAAUAUUCCUGUACUUGGUGUUACUGCGAAGGGGGGACGGAGAAGGCUAUGUUGGCCGGGCGACGGUUGUCCCGGUUUAAGCGUGUAGGCUGGUUUUCCAGGCAAAUCCGGAAAAUCAAGGCUGAGGCGUGA
rnacentral:rRNA from 1 species